AUUAGACUUAAUUUAUCAUUAAAGAUCUAUGACAUAAAAAAUUUACAUAUAAAAUCUAAUAUAAAAUAGAAAACUACAUCGAUCAUAUCGAUGCUCUGAAUCUGAUCUAACUUUUAGAUUAUUUCAGUAGAGUUCAGAACUCAUCACCUUUUUAUGGGUCGAUAAUCUCUACUAUUGAUAAGUAUGGUAUGAAGCUCUCACUGAUGUCAAAUAGUCGCACAGAUCAUCCGGCCUCUACAGAUCGUCCACUCGAAGCUU
rnacentral:lncRNA from 1 species